AAGCGGAGGAAAAGAAACCAACAGGCAUUCCCUCAGUAACGGCGAGUGAAGCGGCAACAGCUCAAAUUUGAAAUCUGGCUCUUUCAGGGUCCGAGUUGUAAUUUGUAGAGGAUGCUUUGGGUGUGGUGCCGGUCUAAGUUCCUUGGAACAGGACGUCAUAGAGGGUGAGAAUCCCGUAUGUGAUCGGUCGCUUUCGCCCGUGUAAAGCUCCUUCGACGAGUCGAGUUGUUUGGGAAUGCAGCUCAAAAUGGGUGGUAAAUUUCAUCUAAAGCUAAAUAUUGGCCAGAGACCGAUAGCGCACAAGUAGAGUGAUCGAAAGAUGAAAAGCACUUUGGAAAGAGAGUUAAACAGUACGUGAAAUUGUUGAAAGGGAAGCGCUUGCAACCAGACUUGGGCUGUCGCAAUCAUCUGGGGCUCGCCCCGGUGCACUUGUGGCGGCACAGGCCAGCAUCAGUUUCCCUCGGUGCAAUGCCGCCUACCGGGACUGAGGACCGCGCUUCGGCUAGGAUGCUGGCGUAAUGGUUGUAAGCGACCCGUCUUGAAACACGGACCAAGGAGUCUAACAUCUAUGCGAGUGUUUGGGUGUCAAACCCAUACGCGUAAUGAAAGUGAACGGAGGUGAGAACCCAUUAGGGUGCACCAUCGACCGAUCCUGAUGUCUUCGGAUGGAUUUGAGUAAGAGCAUAGCUGUUGGGACCCGAAAGAUGGUGAACUAUGCCUGAAUAGGGUGAAGCCAGAGGAAACUCUGGUGGAGGCUCGCAGCGGUUCUGACGUGCAAAUCGAUCGUCAAAUUUGGGUAUAGGGGCGAAAGACUAAUCGAACC
rnacentral:rRNA from 1 species